rnacentral:rRNA from 1 species
AGUGAACGCUGGCGGUAGGCCUAACACAUGCAAGUCGAACGGCAGCACAGUAAGAGCUUGCUCUUACGGGUGGCGAGUGGCGGACGGGUGAGGAAUACAUCGGAAUCUACUUUUUCGUGGGGGAUAAUGUAGGGAAACUUACGCUAAUACCGCAUACGACCUACGGGUGAAAGCAGGGGAUCUUCGGACCUUGCGCGAUUGAAUGAGCCGAUGUCGGAUUAGCUAGUUGGCGGGGUAAAGGCCCACCAAGGCGACGAUCCGUAGCUGGUCUGAGAGGAUGAUCAGCCACACUGGAACUGAGACACGGUCCAGACUCCUACGGGAGGCAGCAGUGGGGAAUAUUGGACAAUGGGCGCAAGCCUGAUCCAGCCAUACCGCGUGGGUGAAGAAGGCCUUCGGGUUGUAAAGCCCUUUUGUUGGGAAAGAAAAGCAGCAGGUUAAUACCCCGCUGUUCUGACGGUACCCAAAGAAUAAGCACCGGCUAACUUCGU